UUUAUGGAGAGUUUGAUCCUGGCUCAGGAUGAACGCUGGCGGCGUGCCUAAUACAUGCAAGUCGAGCGAACGGAUGAGAAGCUUGCUUCUCUGAUGUUAGCGGCGGACGGGUGAGUAACACGUGGAUAACCUACCUAUAAGACUGGGAUAACUUCGGGAAACCGGAGCUAAUACCGGAUAAUAUUUUGAACCGCAUGGUUCAAAAGUGAAAGACGGUC
rnacentral:rRNA from 1 species